rnacentral:rRNA from 1 species
GAUGAACGCUGGCGGCGUGCCUAAUACAUGCAAGUCGAGCGAGCGGACGAGAAGCUUGCUUCUCUGAUGUUAGCGGCGGACGGGUGAGUAACACGUGGAUAACCUACCUAUAAGACCGGGAUAACUUCGGGAAACCGUAGCUAAUACCGGAUAAUAUUUUGAACCGCAUGGUUCAAAAGUGAAAGACGGUCUUGCUGUCACUUAUAGAUGGAUCCGCGCUGCAUUAGCUAGUUGGUAAGGUAACGGCUUACCAAGGCAACGAUGCAUAGCCGACCUGAGAGGGUGAUCGGCCACACUGGAACUGAGACACGGUCCAGACUCCUACGGGAGGCAGCAGUAGGGAAUCUUCCGCAAUGGGCGAAAGCCUGACGGAGCAACGCCGCGUGAGUGAUGAAGGUCUUCGGAUCGUAAAACUCUGUUAUUAGGGAAGAACAUAUGUGUAAGUAACUGUGCACAUCUUGACGGUACCUAAUCAGAAAGCCACGGCUAACUACGUG